rnacentral:rRNA from 1 species
UACGAAGGGGGCUAGCGUUGCUCGGAAUCACUGGGCGUAAAGCGCGCGUAGGCGGCCCGGUAAGUCCGUUGUGAAAGUCAAAGGCUCAACCUUUGAAAGCCGAUGGAUACUGCCGGGCUAGAAUCCGGAAGAGGCGAGUGGAAUUCCUGGUGUAGCGGUGGAAUGCGCAGAUAUCAGGAGGAACACCAAUAGCGAAGGCAGCUCGCUGGGACGGUAUUGACGCUAAGGCGCGAAAGCGUGGGGAGCAAACAGG